GACAGAGGGUGCAAACGUUGUUCGGAAUCACUGGGCUUAAAGGGCGCGUAGGCGGGCGGGCAAGUCAGGGGUGAAAUCCCACGGCUCAACCGUGGAAGGGCCCUUGAUACUGCCCAUCUCGAGGGAGGUAGGGGCGUGCGGAACUUCCGGUGGAGCGGUGAAAUGCGUAGAUAUCGGAAGGAACACCGGUGGCGAAAGCGGCGCGCUGGACCUCUUCUGACGCUGAGGCGCGAAAGCCAGGGGAGCAAACGGG
rnacentral:rRNA from 1 species